rnacentral:rRNA from 1 species
AGUGAACGCUGGCGGUAGGCCUAACACAUGCAAGUCGAACGGCAGCACAGUAAGAGCUUGCUCUUACGGGUGGCGAGUGGCGGACGGGUGAGGAAUACAUCGGAUUCUACUUUUUCGUGGGGGAUAACGUAGGGAAACUUACGCUAAUACCGCAUACGACCUACGGGUGAAAGCAGGGGAUCUUCGGACCUUGCGCGAUUGAAUGAGCCGAUGUCGGAUUAGCUAGUUGGCGGGGUAAAGGCCCACCAAGGCGACGAUCCGUAGCUGGUCUGAGGGGAUGAUCAGCCACACUGGAACUGAGACACGGUCCAGACUCCUACGGGAGGCAGCAGUGGGGAAUAUUGGACAAUGGGCGCAAGCCUGAUCCAGCCAUACCGCGUGGGUGAAGAAGGCCUUCGGGUUGUAAAGCCCUUUUGUUGGGAAAGAAAAGCAGCAGGUUAAUACCCCGCUGUUCUGACGGUACCCAAAGAAUAAGCACCGGCUAACUUCGUG